GUCGUAAAAACCCUAUUUGUAAACAACCAGCCCUUUUAACUCGGGGCUGCGUUAUAAACACGGAGCGCUUGGAAGACCACGAUGUCAUCUUCCUUCUGUCAGGAGGAUCAAAGUGAAGCUACAGGAGUUUCAUUAACGUCAACAACUUGGACCGAACACUUUGUUUUGCUUGAUGAAGAGCAGGAAGGGCAGCCUGGAGAGAAAGAGAAGCCGGGUUGAGCCCACUACCAUCAUCCACGUACCACGAGGAAGAUGAGGGAGAGAAAUGAUCCUACCAUUAAAGAGACUGUGAAAAGAACGUUGAGAACAUCACCACUCUACAGGAAGACACAGUCCAGUAAUGGGUGUCAGAAGUUCAGUAGUGAACGACAGGCAGUACUGACGCAUUUACUGAGAGGGGACGUGAGGGCCUACUCUGCGUGCUCAGAGUUCAAGCCCAGCAGGCUGCAGCGGGCCUGACAUAUUCUGGAACAGCAGCACAGUCUUUAGAUGACUCCUCUGAAGAUGAAAACAUGGCGAGGUACUUCUCCACUGAUGAAGAACUGUGAGGGCUGUGAUUAGCUACACUCUCUUGCUACAAUGCUACUCAUGCUACUCCCUGGCAGCCUUAGGAAGGCAUUAGCUUGCUGUGUGGUAGCUGUUAGCUUCAGCAUUUUUAGUUUUUAGUGGCCUGUCUGACGUUUAUGUUUUAAAAAAACAAUCAGAGGGAACCAUCUUCAUAAUUUAACACUAUGGUUUGUUUGUGUCCUUCAGUUCACAAACAAACAUGAAACUGGGUGAAAAGAUGUGGUCAGGUGAUCUUGAUGAAAAACAUGUUACACAUUUAGAGGACUAUCAUUCAUAAGU